rnacentral:rRNA from 1 species
GGCGAACGGGUGAGUAACACGUGGGUGAUCUGCCCUGCACUUCGGGAUAAGCUUGGGAAACUGGGUCUAAUGCCGGAUAGGAGCCAUCUUUAGUGUGGUGGUUGGAAAGUUUUUCGGUGUAGGAUGAGCUCGCGGCCUAUCAGCUUGUUGGUGGGGUAAUGGCCUACCAAGGCGGCGACGGGUAGCCGGCCUGAGAGGGUGUACGGCCACAUUGGGACUGAGAUACGGCCCAG